AACGUAGGAGGCAAGCGUUAUCCGAAUUUACUGGGCGUAAAGCGUGUGCAGGCGGCUUGAUAAGUUGGGUGUGAAAUCUCCCGGCUCAACUGGGAGAGGUCGCUCAAGACUGUCAGGCUGGAGGGCAGUAGAGGGUGGUGGAAUUCCCGGUGUAGUGGUGAAAUGCGUAGAUAUCGGGAGGAACACCAGUGGCGAAGGCGACUACCUGGCCUGUUCUUGACGCUGAGGCGCGAAAGCUAGGGGAGCAAACGGG
rnacentral:rRNA from 1 species